AAGACAGGCCAAACUGGAUCAGAAGGACCAAUGGGUAAACCUGGUGGUAAAGGGGAACUAGGUGAAAAAGGUGAUGUUGGUCACCCUGGUGUUGAAGGUGUAAUUGGUCCAAAAGGAGAACAUGGUGAAGCUGGAACUGCAGGAACAAAGGGAGAUAAAGG